CGGGGUGUGGCUCAGGUGGUAGAGUGCCUGCUUCGGGAGCAGGAGGCCGUGGGUUCAAGUCCCGCCACUCCGACCA
rnacentral:tRNA from 4 species